GACGAACGCUGGCGGCGUGCUUAACACAUGCAAGUCGAACGGAAAGGCCCGGCUUUUGUGGGGUGCUCGAGUGGCGAACGGGUGAGAAACACGUGUGUAACCUGCCCUUGACUUUCGGAUAACUUCUGGAAACUGGGGCUAAUACCGCUUAUGAGCUCCUGCUGCAUGGUGUGGGUUGGAAAGUUUCGGCGGUUGGGGAUGGACUCGCGGCUUAUCAGCUUGUUGGUGGGGUAGUGGCUUACGAAGUCUGUGACGGGUAGCCGGCCUGGGAGGGGGGCCGGCGACAUGGCGACUGCGAUACGGCGCAGAAGCCUACGGGAGGCAUGAGUGGGGAGCAUUGCACAGUGGGCGGGAGCCUGAGGCAGCGAUGCCGGGUGCGGGAUGAUGGCCUUCGGGUGGUAAACCGCUUUCGCCUGUGAUGAAGCGGUAGUGACGGUAAUGGUUAAAGAAGCACCGGCUAACUACGUG
rnacentral:rRNA from 1 species